ensembl:lncRNA
GGGUGACAGUGAUUAAUGAUGUCAUAAAGACCUCACAUAUUCCAAUCUUCACUGUUUUCAAGACCACGGCUCCUCUGACAACCCAAGAUGACACUGGGUCAACAUAAAGGGAGGAAGUGUGCAAGUGCUUUCGGUAUAGUGACCAUGUGGAUGAUCCAAAUCCUUUUUACAGUAUGUAGGCACGGGUUCACCCUGAGGUAGAAUGGAAAAGGAGGCAACUAAAACACCCCGCAUCAAGCCCCUGUCCUACUGAGGUGCACAUUUGGGCUGCGUAAUGGCUGAUAAAGAUAUUAGGAGUUCGACCAUGGAAAACUCUGUCAGCUCUCUGUCAAGUUGGCUUGAGCAGGCAGCACAUGUUCCUGUGGAUUCAGAUGGCCAGUCAUAGAGAUCUCUCAGCAGAGAACCCCUCAGACUGACAGUUGCAUGCUGGGACAUCACUAUGAAUCAACCCUCACCAAUACUUUGAUGCCACC